AUGACACAUCACAUAUUGUGUGUAUGUGUGUCUCCAGGCUGUGGGACGGCCCUGGCCCCAGAGGACCUGCCCUACCUGGAGAUCCUGUGUGUUUCAGACACCAUCCACUCCCUCGACACACACCACACACCCUCUGCCUCCAAUGGAUUCUCUGCAGAGCGAGAGGUGUGUGAGGGACGAGAGGCGAGGCAGGGCAGCCACAGAAAGACUCCUCAGAGCUAUGAGAAGCAAGGUUCUCUCAUCACUCUGGCCUGGAGCAAACCACCGGAUGGAGAAACUGAGCAGCAGGCAGAAACAGUCAUGUCUACUGCAACAGAGCAACAAGAGGAAGUGGGUGAGGUGAGUGUGCACUGUGACACACACAACACCCCCGGAUUCACACACUAUGACACACCUGGACACAUACACUACAACGACACAACCAGAGACACAGACCAGGUGGUGUUGGACUCGUCUCUGUUCCAGUACAGCUCUGAGGUUGAACAGCUCUUACCGCCUACAGACCAGCACCCCACCACGGACCAGAAGGAGUUGAUGAUGGAGCAGUCAGAGAAGACAGAAACACUUUCUAAUGUGCCCACACACACCCCUAUCACACACACUCUGCCCCCUGAGCACACACACACUGAGGAGCCUCCAACAUGGGGCAGAGCCCAGCAGGAGGCUGAGACAAGGCGCGGAAGUCCACCGGUCAAUGAGGAACACACUGAUGACCUCACUGCUUUGGGAGCCAAUGGAAGUGCUUACCCACGCUCUGUGGGAGGGGAGAUGGAGGACAUGACAGAGCUCUGGGCCCUGAGUAGACCUGCACCCCUUACAUCAGCCCAUGAGACCCUUAACACCCCACACACUACUCUAGAAGGAGACAGAACAAUGGAGGGAGAGAAAACAAUGGGGAGUGUGAUGGAGAGAGAAAAAACAUUGGAGCCAGUCUCUAUGAUGGAGAGAGAGAAAACAAUGCGCAGCUUGGUGGACCUGCAGAGGAAGGUGGAGCAGAAACAACAGCGAGACAGAGAGAGACAAUUACUGAGGGUCCAGGAGCGGCUGUCAAUCAUUCAGAACAAGAAGUCCCAGGAAGACCUGAUGGGCCUCAGACAGACUGACAGACUCCGACACCUCACACAUAACCUGCCCCAGGCGGAUAAGAGCCAGCAGAAGACAGUGGUCAGAGAGAGACUGGAGCAGCUGAGGAGAGAACGCUCCUACGUCAUGCAGUCCAAACGAGACAGGAAUACAGCAGGCUUCAAGGAGCUGCUGGGUCCAGUGAGAAUCCACAGUGCAGAGCCAGACGACACUGCUGACUCACUCAGGCUAGCCACCAGCGCAAGCUAA
rnacentral:lncRNA from 1 species